UAAGGAAUAUUGGUCAAUGGGCGGAAGCCUGAACCAGCCAUGCCGCGUGCAGGAUGACUGCCCUAUGGGUUGUAAACUGCUUUUGUCCAGGAAUAACCCCAGAUACGUGUAUCUGGCUGAAUGUACUGGAAGAAUAAAGAUCGGCUAGCUCCGUGCCAGCAGCCGCGGUAAUACGUAGGUG
rnacentral:rRNA from 1 species